UACGGAGGGUGCAAACGUUGCUCGGAAUCAUUGGGCGUAAAGCGCACGUAGGCGGCGCGUUAAGUCGGGUGUGAAAGCCCUGGGCUCAACCCAGGAAGUGCAUUCGAAACUGGCGCGCUUGAAUAUGGAAGAGGGUCGCGGAAUUCCUGGUGUAGAGGUGAAAUUCGUAGAUAUCGGGAGGAACACCGGUGGCGAAGGCGGCGACCUGGGACAAUACUGACACUGAGGUGCGAAAGCGUGGGGAGCGAACAGG
rnacentral:rRNA from 1 species